GACUCCUAAAAUAUAUGGUAGGAGAAUUAAUUAAUAUUUUUUUCUACUGUUCAAUUAGAAAAAUACUCCUAAAAUAGGACGAAAAUACUUUUUUAAAUAUUAAGAUGUACGUUAAACUAGAGAACAAACCGGUUUGCCUAUUGGGAGAAUAUGAUUGAUGUUCAUCUAACUUAAUUCGAUUGCAUGUCUCGAUUGAUGGAUGCUUAAUUUCUAACUCUCAACUUCUUCACUUUUUUGUCAGCAUAAUAAAAUUCAACAUGUGUGUAUAUAUAUAUCUUCUUUGUUUUCAUUCAAAAUCAUUCUUCAGGGUCAAAAUUUUCACUCAGACAAAAAUUAGUUGGAUCAAAAUCGAAGUUUCAUGAUCACUAUUAUGUUAUUUUUUUUAUAGUUUACAGGUCGUAGGUGAGUGUUGGUUGAUUUUGAAGAAUUUCUUGUGUAAAAGUUAGGUUUAAUUGUAUUGUUUUGAUAUCUUUGUUAUCUUAUUGUUUUAUUUUAAUUUACAGAUGUUAAAUGAAUGUGAGUCGACUUUGAAAUUUUUUUUUCAAGUAAAGGUUAAGUUUAAUUGCAUUAUCGUAAUAUCUCUAUUAGUUUAUUAUUUUGUUGUAGUUUACAGUUCGUAUAUGAAUCUCGAUCGGCUUUGAGAAAGUUUUGUGUGUGAAAUUUAAGUUUAAUUGUAUUGUUUUGAUAUCACUUUUAUCGUAUUAUUUUGUUGCAGUAUACAAGUGAUAGAUAAAUGUUGGUCGGCUUUGAGAAAUCUUUUUAUGUAAAGGUUAGGUUUAGUUGUACUAUUUUGAUAUCUCUAUUAUCGUAUUAUUUUGUUAUUGUUUACAGGUGGUAGAUGAGUGUCGGACGACUUUGAGAAAAAUUUUGUGUGUAAAGAUUAGAUUAGAUUAGAUUAGAUUUAAUUGUACUAUUUUGAUGUUUCUAUCGUUGUAUUGUUUUGUUGCAAUUUACAGAUGGUAGAUGAACGUCGAUCGAUUUUUAAAAAUAUUUUUUAUAAAGGUUAUGUUUAAUAAAUAAAUUCUCCAUCUUUACAUACUCAAAAAAUAUUAAAUUUAAUUAUUAUAUUCAUUUUUAUUAUUUAAACAAAUAUCCUAUUUAGUAUAAUGUUUGAACUCAUUAAAGUGAGGUACACGCGCAAGGCGCGUACACCUAAACUAGUUAUUUGAAACUUCAAAACCAAACUAAAAUCACAAAAGGAAACUUCUCAAUAAACCAUUGUUUAUUAAAAUAUAUGAUAAUUUUUUUUAAAACAUAAAAAAUAUAAUAAAAUUUUAGAAAACUGACCUCAAAUAACUAUUAAAUUUGUUUCUACAAUUAAAGUU
rnacentral:lncRNA from 1 species